AGAGUUUGAUCAUGGCUCAGGAUGAACGCUAGCGACAGGCUUAACACAUGCAAGUCGAGGGGCAGCAUAGAAGUAGCAAUACUUGGUGGCGACCGGCGCACGGGUGAGUAACGCGUAUGCAACCUACCUAUCAGAGGGGAAUAACCCGGCGAAAGUCGGACUAAUACCGCAUAAAACAGGGGCACCGCAUGGUGAUAUUUGUUAAAGAAAUUCGCUGAUAGAUGGGCAUGCGUUCCAUUAGGUAGUUGGUGAGGUAACGGCUCACCAAGCCGACGAUGGAUAGGGGAACUGAGAGGUUGGUCCCCCACACUGGUACUGAGACACGGACCAGACUCCUACGGGAGGCAGCAGUGAGGAAUAUUGGUCAAUGGGCGGGAGCCUGAACCAGCCAAGUCGCGUGAAAGGAAGAAGGAUCUAUGGUUCGUAAACUUCUUUUGCAGGGGAAUAAAGUGCAGGACGUGUCCUGUUUUGUAUGUACCCUGAGAAUAAGGAUCGGCUAACUCCGUGCCAGCAGCGGC
rnacentral:rRNA from 1 species